rnacentral:rRNA from 1 species
UACGUAGGGGGCAAGCGUUGUCCGGAUUUAUUGGGCGUAAAGCGCUCGCAGGUGGUUCGUCGCGUCGUGCGUGAAAGACCCCGGCUCAACUGGGGGAGGUCGUGCGAUACGGGCGGACUGGAGGCCAGUAGGGGGAUGCGGAAUUCCGGGUGUAGUGGUGGAAUGCGUAGAGAUCCGGAGGAACACCAGCGGCGAAGGCGGCAUCCUGGACUGGUCCUGACACUCAUGAGCGAAAAGCGUGGGGGAGCGAUCCGG